CCGGCACGGGUGAGUAACACGUAUGCAAUCCACCUGUAACAGGGGGAUAACCCGGAGAAAUCCGGACUAAUACCCCAUAAUAUGGGCGCUCCGCAUGGAGAGCCCAUUAAAGAGAGCAAUUUUGGUUACAGACGAGCAUGCGCUCCAUUAGCCAGUUGGUGGGGUAACGGCCCACCAAAGCGACGAUGGAUAGGGGUUCUGAGAGGAAGGUCCCCCACAUUGGAACUGAGACACGGUCCAA
rnacentral:rRNA from 1 species